rnacentral:rRNA from 1 species
AUUGAACGCUGGCGGCAGGCCUAACACAUGCAAGUCGAGCGGAUGAAGGGAGCUUGCUCCUGGAUUCAGCGGCGGACGGGUGAGUAAUGCCUAUGAAUCUGCCUGGUAGUGGGGGAUAACGUCCGGAAACGGGCGCUAAUACCGCAUACGACCUGAGGGAGAAAGAGGGGGAGCUUGGGACCUCACGCCAUCAGAUGAGCCUAGGUUGGAUUAGCUAGUUGGUGGGGUAACGGCCUACCAAGGCGACGAUGCGAAACUGGUCUGAGGGGAUGGUCAGAUACCCUGGCAGUGAGACACGGCCCACACUCUUGCGGUGGGCAGCAGUGGGGAAUAUUGGGGGAUGGGGCAAAGCCUAAUCCUGCACUGCCGGGUGUAUGAAGAAGGUCUUCGGAUUGUAAAGCGCUGUAAGUUGGAAGAAAGUGAAGUAAGUUAAUCCCUGGAUGUAUUGACGGUACCAGCAGAAUAAGCCCCGGCUAACUUCGUG